UACGUAGGGGGCAAGCGUUGUCCGGAUUUAUUGGGUUUAAAGGGUGCGUAGGCGGCCUAUUAAGUCAGUGGUGAAAUAUUUCAGCUCAACUGGAAUUGUGCCAUUGAUACUGAUGGGCUUGAGUACAGAUGAGGUAGGCGGAAUUGACGGUGUAGCGGUGAAAUGCUUAGAUAUCGUCAAGAACACCUAUAGCGAAGGCAGCUUACUAGGCUGUAACUGACGCUGAGGCACGAAAGUGUGGGGAUCAAACAGG
rnacentral:rRNA from 1 species